rnacentral:tRNA from 1 species
GCCGUCGUAGCUCAGUUUGGUAGAGCGGUAGGUUGAAGCCCUGCGCGUCGGAGGUUCAAAUCCUUCCGUCGGCA